rnacentral:rRNA from 1 species
UACAGAGGUCCCGAGCGUUGUUCGGAUUCACUGGGCGUAAAGGGCGCGUAGGCGGCGGGGUAAGUCUGGUGUGAAAUCUCGGAGCUCAACUCCGAAAUUGCACUGGAUACUGCUCUGCUAGAGGGCUGGAGAGGAGAUCGGAAUUCACGGUGUAGCAGUGAAAUGCGUAGAUAUCGUGAGGAAGACCAGUGGCGAAGGCGGAUCUCUGGACAGCUCCUGACGCUGAGGCGCGAAGGCUAGGGGAGCAAACGGG